rnacentral:rRNA from 1 species
GACGAACGCUGGCGGCGUGCUUAACACAUGCAAGUCGAACGAAGUGGCGAACGGGUGAGUAACGCGUAAUCAACCUGCCCUUCAGAGGGGGACAACAGUUGGAAACGACUGCUAAUACCGCAUACUGAAGGAGGGGAUUGCGUCUGAUUAGCUAGUUGGAGGGGUAACGGCCCACCAAGGCGAUGAUCAGUAGCCGGUGUGAGAGGAUGAACGGCGACAUUGGGACUUAGACACGGCCCAGAGUCCUACGGGAGGCAGAAGUGGGGAAUCUACCGCAAUGGACGAGAGUCUGACGGGGAAACGCGGCGUGAGUGAUGACGGCGUUCGGGUUGUAAAGCGCUGUUAAUCGGGACGCGGUACCGGAAUAGAAAGCCACGGGUAACUACGUGCCAGCAGCCGCGGUAAUUC